CAGCCGCCGCGGGAAUACGGAGGGGGCUAGCGUUGUUCGGAAUUACUGGGCGUAAAGCGCACGUAGGCGGCUCGGUAAGUUAGAGGUGAAAGCCCGGAGCUCAACUCCGGAAUUGCCUUUAAGACUGCCGAGCUAGUAGGUGAGAGAGGUAAGUGGAAUUCCGAGUGUAGAGGUGAAAUUCGUAGAUAUUCGGAAGAACACCAGUGGCGAAGGCGGCUUACUGGCUCAUUCUAGACGCUGAGGUGCGAAAGCGUGGGGAGCAAACAGGAUUAGAUACCCCUGUAGUCCCUGUCUCUUAUAC
rnacentral:rRNA from 1 species